UCUUCAGAUGAUGAUCCCAAGCCUUCUGGCGAUCUAUAAAACGAGCCAUUUUUUUAAAAAUGUUUUCGUUUCUCAGAUUAUGCCGGGGAAGGUUUUCCGGUUUAUCCCGGAGGGCUUGUAGCUCAGUUGGUUAGAGCGCGCGCUUGAUAAGCGUGAGGUCGGAGGUUCAAGUCCUCCCAGGCCCACCAAUUUAAUUAAGUGCUGAUAAAGUGCUUAUUUUAAGAUGCACACAACAUGUGCAGCUUAUCAAUUAUGCUGAAGCGAUUUUAACUCAGAUUAAAUUUAUGUUUUUAUAAAUUUAUGAGUUUUAUUUCUUAUCCUUUUAGGGGCCGUAGCUCAGCUGGGAGAGCACCUGCUUUGCAAGCAGGGG
rnacentral:misc_RNA from 1 species